CCUACGGGGGGCUGCAGUCGAGAAUUAUUCACAAUGGGGGAAACCCUGAUGGUGCGACGCCGCGUGGGGGAAUGAAGGUCUUCGGAUUGUAAACCCCUGUCAUGUGGGAGCAAAUUAAAAAGAUAGUACCACAAGAGGAAGAGACGGCUAACUCUGUGCCAGCAGCCGCGGUAAUACAGAGGUCUCAAGCGUUGUUCGGAAUCACUGGGCGUAAAGCGUGCGUAGGCUGUUUCGUAAGUCGUGUGUGAAAGGCGCGGGCUCAACCCGCGGACGGCACAUGAUACUGCGAGACUAGAGUAAUGGAGGGGGAACCGGAAUUCUCGGUGUAGCAGUGAAAUGCGUAGAUAUCGAGAGGAACACUCGUGGCGAAGGCGGGUUCAUGGACAUUAACUGACGCUGAGGCACGAAGGCCAGGGGAGCAAACAGGAUUAGAUACCCUAGUAGUC
rnacentral:rRNA from 1 species